CCUACGGGGGGCUGCAGUGGGGAAUUUUGGACAAUGGGGGCAACCCUGAUCCAGCCAUGCCGCGUGAGUGAAGAAGGCCUUCGGGUUGUAAAGCUCUUUCAGGUGGAAAGAAAUCGCAUCGGUUAAUACAGGGUGUGGAUGACGGUACCAUCAGAAGAAGCACCGGCUAACUACGUGCCAGCAGCCGCGGUAAUACGUAGGGUGCGAGCGUUAAUCGGAAUUACUGGGCGGAAAGCGUGCGCAGGAGGUUAAAUCCCCGGGCUCAACCUGGGAACUGCGUUUGUGACUGCAUAACUAGAGUACGGCAGAGGGAGGUGGAAUUCCGCGUGUAGCAGUGAAAUGCGUAGAGAUGCGGAGGAACACCGAUGGCGAAGGCAGCCUCCUGGGCCAGUACUGACGCUCAUGCACGAAAGCGUGGGGAGCAAACAGGAUUAGAUACCCCGGUAGUC
rnacentral:rRNA from 1 species